rnacentral:rRNA from 1 species
GGUCAAGCUAAUAAGGGCUUACGGUGGAUACCUAGGCACACAGAGGCGAAGAAGGACGUGGUUACCGACGAUAUACUCCGGGGAGUUGGAAGCAAACAUUGAGCCGGAGGUUUCCGAAUGGGGCAACCCUAAAUACUACCUGUUGAAUAUAUAGACAGGAAAGAGCCAACCCAGCGAACUGAAACAUCUUAGUAGCUGGAGGAAGAGAAAUCAAAAGAGAUUCCCUGAGUAGUGGUGAGCGAAAGGGGAAAAGCCUAAACCAAAGGAUUUAUCCUUUGGGGUAGUGGGACAGCGAUAUCGAAUCUGGCGGUUAGACGAAGCAGCUAAAUACUGCACCAAAGAAGGUGAAAGUCCUGUAGUCGAAAACUCAAGGAUAGUAGCUGAAUCCCGAGUAGCAUGGGGCACGAGGAAUCCCAUGUGAAUCAGCGAGGACCAUCUCGUAAGGCUAAAUACUACUGUGUGACCGAUAGUGAACCAGUACCGCGAGGGAAAGGUGAAAAGAACCCCGGAAGGGGAGUGAAAUAGAACAUGAAACCGUAAGCUUACAAGCAGUGGGAGGACGAUUGAACGUCUGACCGCGUGCCUGUUGAAGAAUGAGCCGGCGACUUAUAGGCACUGGUAGGUUAAGGCGAGAAUGCCGGAGCCAAAGGGAAACCGAGUCUGAAAAGGGCGCUCAAUCAGUGUUUAUAGACCCGAACCCUGGUGAUCUAACCAUGGCCAGGAUGAAGCUUGGGUAACACCAAGUGGAGGUCCGAACCGACUGAUGUUGAAAAAUCAGCGGAUGAGCUGUGGUUAGGGGUGAAAUGCCAAUCGAACCAGGAGCUAGCUGGUUCUCCCCGAAAUGUGUUUAGGCGCAGCGGUAAUGAUUAAAUCUGGGGGGUAAAGCACUGUUUCGGUGCGGGCUGGGAGACCGGUACCAAAUCGAGACAAACUCAGAAUACCCAGAGAACACAUUGCCAGUGAGACAGUGGGGGAUAAGCUUCAUUGUCAAGAGGGAAACAGCCCAGACCACCAGCUAAGGUCCCCAAAUCAUCACUAAGUGAUAAAGGAGGUGGGAUUGCAUAGACAACUAGGAGGUUUGCCUAGAAGCAGCCAACCUUAAAAGAGUGCGUAAUAGCUCACUAGUCAAGCGAUCCUGCGCCGAAAAUGAACGGGGCUAAGUGAUGUACCGAAGCUGUGGGAUUAAUCUAGUAUUAAUCGGUAGGGGAGCGUUCCGUAUUAGGUAGAAGCAGUAGCGGCGAGCAGCUGUGGACGAAACGGAAGUGAGAAUGUCGGCUUGAGUAGCGCAAACAUUGGUGAGAAUCCAAUGCCCCGAAACCCUAAGGGUUCCUCCGCCAGGUUCGUCCACGGAGGGUUAGUCGGGUCCUAAGGCGAGGUCGAAGGGCGUAGUCGAUGGACACAGGGUGAAUAAUCCCUGACUACUAUGUGGGAGCAUUGCGAGGGACGCAUGAAAGAUAGCCAUACCCUGAUUGGUUUGGGAGGAGUUUACGAACUCCGCGUGGUGAAGGAUAGUGUCAAGAAAAGCUCGUAAUGUGAUGAAAACAUAGUACCCGUACCCGAAACCGACACAGGUAGGGAGGUUGAGAAUACCAAGGGGCGCGAGAUAACUCUCUCUAAGGAACUCGGCAAAAUGGCCCCGUAACUUCGGGAGAAGGGGUGCCCACCUCAGACGUGGGUCGCAGUGAAGAGAUCCAGGCGACUGUUUACCAAAAACACAGGUCUCCGCCAACUCGAAAGAGGACGUAUGGGGGCUGACGCCUGCCCAGUGCCGGAAGGUUAAGGAAGUUGGUCAGGGGUUCGCCUUGAAGCUGACGACCGAAGCCCCGGUGAACGGCGGCCGUAACUAUAACGGUCCUAAGGUAGCGAAAUUCCUUGUCGGGUAAGUUCCGACCCGCACGAAAGGCGUAACGAUCUGGAUGGUGUCUCAGAGAGAGACUCGGCGAAAUAGGAAUGUCUGUGAAGAUACGGACUGCCUGCACCUGGACAGAAAGACCCUAUGAAGCUUUACUGUAGCCUGGAAUUGUGUUCGGGCUUCGCUUGCGCAGGAUAGGUGGGAAGCGAAGAAGUAUCCCUUGUGGGGGAUAUGGAGCUAACGGUGAGAUACCACUCUGGCGAAGCUAGAAUUCUAACCCAUGACCGUAAGCCGGUCAGGGAACAGUUUCAGGUGGGCAGUUUGACUGGGGCGGUCGCCUCCUAAAAAGUAACGGAGGCGCGCAAAGGUUCUCUCAGCACGCUUGGAAACCGUGCGGCGAGUGUAAAGGCAAAAGAGAGCUUGACUGCGAGAGAUACAACUCAAGCAGGGACGAAAGUCGGCCUUAGUGAUCCGACGGCACAGCAUGGAAUGGCCGUCGCUCAACGGAUAAAAGUUACUCUAGGGAUAACAGGCUGAUCUCCCCCAAGAGUCCACAUCGACGGGGAGGUUUGGCACCUCGAUGUCGGCUCAUCGCAACCUGGGGCGGAAGUACGUCCCAAGGGUUGGGCUGUUCGCCCAUUAAAGCGGUACGUGAGCUGGGUUCAGAACGUCGUGAGACAGUUCGGUCCAUAUCCGGUGCAGGCGCAAGAGCAUUGAGAGGAGCCUUCCUUAGUACGAGAGGACCGGGAAGGACGCACCGCUGGUGUACCAGUUAUCGUACCAACGGUAAACGCUGGGUAGCCAAGUGCGGAGCGGAUAACCGCUGAAAGCAUCUAAGUGGGAAGCCCACCUCAAGAUGAGUGCUCUCACUACAUAAGUAGGUAAGGUCACGGGCAGAACACCCGUUUAUAGGCUCUAAGUGGAAGUACAGUAAUGUAUGAAGCUGAGGUGUACUAACAGACCGAGGGCUUGACCUC